GUGGGGAAUAUUGCACAAUGGGGGAAACCCUGAUGCAGCCAUGCCGCGUGUGUGAAGAAGGCCUUCGGGUUGUAAAGCACUUUCAGCGAGGAGGAAAGGAUGCUGGCUAAUAUCCAGCAUCUGUGACGUUACUCGCAGAAGAAGCACCGGCUAACUCCGUGCCAGCAGCCGCGGUAAUACGGAGGGUGCAAGCGUUAAUCGGAAUUACUGGGCGUAAAUCGCACGCAGGCGGUUGGAUAAGUUAGAUGUGAAAGCCCCGGGCUCAACAUGGGAAUUGCAUUUAAAACUGUCCAGCUAGAGUCUUGUAGAGGGGGGUAGAAUUCCAGGUGUAGCGGUGAAAUGCGUAGAGAUCUGGAGGAAUACCGGUGGCGAAGGCGGCCCCCUGGACAAAGACUGACGCUCAGGUGCGAAAGCGUGGGGAGCAAACAGGAUUAGAUACCCGGGUAGUCC
rnacentral:rRNA from 1 species